rnacentral:sRNA from 1 species
CACGACAGAUGGACAGCCAACACGCUCACGGGAUGGCUCUCCGAAGUCACGAUGGCACUGCAAGAACGACCCCCGGAGGGUUA